rnacentral:rRNA from 1 species
ACAGAGGGUGCAAACGUUGUUCGGAAUUACUGGGCGUAAAGCGCGUGUAGGUGGCUACGCAAGUCGGGUGUGAAAACCCACGGCUCAACCGUGGAAGUGCACUCGAAACUGCGCGGCUAGAGUCCUGGAGAGGAAGGUGGAAUACUUGGUGUAGAGGUGAAAUUCGUAGAUAUCAGGUAGAACACCGGUGGCGAAGGCGGCCUUCUGGACAGUGACUGACACUGAGACGCGAAAGCGUGGGGAGCAAACAG